GGCUACGUAGCUCAGCUGGUUAGAGCGGUCGACUCAUAAUCGACAGGUCGGUGGUUCAAGUCCACCCGUAGCCACCA
rnacentral:tRNA from 1 species